UUUGGAGCAUCAUUUCGUGGAACGUUUCUUAUGCAAAGUUUCUAGGAUUUGUAACUCCUGUAUCUUGUCCAAAGGAGGGCCUCCGGAACCGGAAGGUUGUCUCAACAAGCUUUUGGUCAGUUUUGUGUCAAUAGAUGUUUAAAGAAAAUGAGGAAACAGUUGGUGUAGCAGUGGCAACAUCAACAUGGAUGAUUCAUGUUUUAUGGAAGAAGCAACCAACACGAAAAGGAGGAAGAAGAAAUUAGAAAUUACUUCACCAUUCGAUUCUCUUUUAAGGCCCCACUAAACGUGUCCGUGCAAUUUAAGUAACAAAUUUACAGAAUCAGCUACACUGUUCAAGAGGGAACAUGAAGAUCUUUAGCUAAAACGGCGGUGCAUCUAUUCAUCCGAAUAAUGAUUGAACACAACACACUAGUCCAUCCUUUUAGAUCAAAAACACCUUUUACACAAUUCAAUGUCAAGUGGAAACAUGAACAUCUUUAUAGCUAAAACAAUGGCAGCGCACCAAUUUUAUUUUUUUUCUUCAUGAAUAUCUUCUAAUUUAUUAAGUAAGAGACUUAUCUUUUCGGUAUCGUCACCUGUUAGAUUUUUACAAACAAUGAUUAUAGAUUAUACACAACAAUUGUCAUAAUGA